GGUAAUCACCAGUGACUGCUGACGCCGCGGCAGGAUCGCAAGGCUGAACGAAGUUUACCAAAGUAGGUAAAGCUUCUUCCCAUAAUUCGUAAAAGAGGGCUCGGACUCAGACCGAACGAACUCCAGAAGUCCAUAACGGUAACGUCUAGUCGUAAAGUUAGUGGAGAACAGCCAUCGGACCAAGCCCAAUUCCAAUAAUGAAUCAAUCCAAUCUGGUCUCUAAUCCCGGCACUAUUAUAUGCCGCCCUAAAGGCUGAAUCAACCACGGCGGAAGGAUCAAAUCCUAUUGGUGAUGACCUGAACCGCUUACCAUAGCUAACCUAACAACUGGUAAGCGAUGUGUCCUAUUGACCCGCCAGCAUCCUUAGGUGAGCUGCGGAUGCAUCUUCCACAGUGAAAGUGAUCAUUGCGCCACUAUGUUCCUUGUGAUAGAGAUCACUAACAUCAAGAGGAGAAGGAAUAAGAAAGAAAGAAGAAAGAAAUGACCAACAUGAAAACCCAUUUCCA
rnacentral:misc_RNA from 1 species